CACAGACAAAAAUGGCCAGGAUCAAGUUCCACAAACCCUUACAAAAAAAAAGUAUGAUGCUAUUUAUAAUUCAAUCACAUUUGGUGGUGAAUGACCAUUAUAAACAGCCGUGAAGGUUACAAAUAAGGGGUUUCAUAGUGUUUAUUAUCCUUUAAUUGUUGAAAUUAUAACUCUUAAAAUUUUGAUAUCAAAAGUUACCCACAUCUGAAAAUAAAGUUACAGAC
rnacentral:lncRNA from 1 species